rnacentral:rRNA from 1 species
GACGAACGCUGGCGGCGCGCCUAACACAUGCAAGUCGAACGGGGUCUUUUAGGAAGCUUGCUUCCUGGCUGACCUAGUGGCGGACGGGUGAGUAACACGUGAGCAACCUGCCGAAGAGUGGGGGAUAACGUUUGGAAACGAACGCUAAUACCGCAUAACAUCGGGGAAAGGCAUCUUUUCCCGAUCAAAGGAGCAAUCCGCUUUUUGAUGGGCUCGCGCCCGAUUAGAUAGUUGGUGAGGUAACGGCUCACCAAGUCGACGAUCGGUAGCCGGACUGAGAGGUUGAACGGCCACAUUGGGACUGAGACACGGCCCAGACUCCUACGGGAGGCAGCAGUGGGGAAUAUUGCACAAUGGGGGAAACCCUGAUGCAGCGACGCCGCGUGGGUGAAGACGGCCUUCGGGUUGUAAAGCCCUGUCUUCGGGGACGAUAAUGACGGUACCCGAGGAGGAAGCCACGGCUAAUUACGUGCCAGCCGCCGCCGUAAAAC